GGAGGGAUGGCCGAGCGGACGAAGGCGAUCGACUCGAAAUCGAUUAGGGGCCCACAAGGUUCCUCGGGGGUUCGAAUCCCUCUCCCUCCGCUA
rnacentral:tRNA from 1 species